AGAUUAGAUCUUUUCUAUUUCUUAGUGUCCUUUAGUUCCUAAGAGGAUGGCUACGGGGGAAUUGUAGCUUUUCUGAGGGUGUGGUUAAUUAUAUAUCACAUCAGUUUUACCAUUUGAACCAUUUUUAAGUGCACAGUUCGAUGGCAUUAAGCACCUUCACAUUGUUGUGCACCCAGCACCACUGUCUGUUUCCAGAGCUUUCUCAUUGCCCCAAACAAACAGAAGCUCUAUAAUCAUUAAACACUAACUCCCUACCCCUCUUUUCCUGCAACCCCCGGUAAUGGCCGUGAACGGUACCUCUUUAAAAAUAAUGUCCUUACUUAGCAAAACUAUUUUGUAAUUUUACAGAUCCUGGUGUCAUUUUAAAGCUCCCAGUGCUUCUCAGCUACGUGGUGGUGGACUAGCUGACAGAGGAGGACUGGGCAACUGCCACCCCCCCCACCACCACAUACUCACCAGGAAGGAACCUUCAAGGCCACAAUCUGCCUGGAGGAAUUGGGGUCGCCCCCCUCUGUCAUGCAAGGGUGGGCACCUAAUGGGCUGGCCAGGAACUCUGCUAGAGCUGCCCUUUGUGGUAGAAAGGCUCUCACACGGUUUUCUCCAGGUUUUCAUUUUACUUAAAAGCUCUUCCUUGCCUGGGGUUUUGAGGUUAAAAACCACUGCCUAGCGCUCCCACGCUCUAAGUGGGAGUGUCAAUUGGUCCUACCAUCAUGAAGAGCAGUUAUGCAGUAGCUUCUGAAAAUAAAAGGAAAAUACCCCUUGACCUGGCAAUUCUGCUUCUGGAAAUUUAUUCUGCAGAUCUGAAAGUCUAUUUGCAUGGAAACCUGUGUAUCAGGAGACUCACUGUGGCACUGUUUGCUCCCAAUUUUCUGAGUUACAAUGCAAAACUCCAUGGAAAGGGAGCUGGUUUAAGAAAUGGUGGUGCCUCUAUCAGCCAAACACUGAGCCCAUCAUUAAAAAGCCCCAGACACAGGAGCCCCCAUUAUGGCUCAGCAGGUUAAGAACCUGACUAGUAUCCAUGAGGAUGCAGGUUCGAUCCCUGGCUUCAUUCGGUGGGUUAGGGAUCCAGCAUUGCCACAAGCUGUGGUCAAUGCAGGAUCCAAGCUGCGUCUGCGACCUACACCACAGUUCACAGCAACCACAAAUCCUUAACCCACUGAGUGAGGCCAGGGAUCAAACCCACAACCUCAUGGUUCCUAGUCAGAAUUCCAAUGUGCUAUGACAGGAACUCCCCAGAAACCUUUUGUGAUGACUAUAAAGAAUACAGAUAGAUUUACACAUCCACGUACACACACACAUAGACAGUAAAGGAAAAGAGAAAUAAGUAUGCCGACCACAAAGAUAAGUGAAUUUAGUCUUGAGGCAAAGCUUGCCUGGCCCUAAAUUCUAAAGGAAAAAUUUCCAUAGGCGACUCCAUAAGAAGACCUGAGCAGAGAGGGAGCGACGCCCCAUGUCACGGUUUCCCCUGGUUUUAGAGCAAAGCAGGCAGGGAUUUGCCAUGGCUGCCAUGGCUCUGUCUGAACAUCCCGGGUAUCCAGUGAAAGCCUAAUAAACACCAAUGGAAGGACCUACAGAGAAGCUACUUGCAGACCACUCAGCUGUACUGGGGUCUAAUGGCAAGGGGUCCUAGUGAGCAGGUUUCAGGGUGGCGGUAUGCAAGGUUGAGAAGCGGUGUGGAAGCAUGUCACCUCUGGACUGACCACCUCUCCUGCCCAUGGCUGAGGGCACAGGCAUGAGAUCACUGUCCUUCAGUGACAGAACACACGCACCCCCCUCACCCCCACCUCUCAUCGUCUUUUCCAAAAGCAGCCAGGCAGGGAUCUUGAUGCACCAGAAGUUUCCUCUUCUAAUCACUACAAGUUAACUGCACAUCCUCCAUGACUGGCUUUUCUUGGAGACCAAGUUGGAAAGCCUUAACCGGAUGGGAUGGUUAGGAGAACCUCUGCCUGUUUUGAAAACAGGCCCCUAGACAGGAAGGAAGGCAAAGUGGGGUCCUCAUGAGAGAGAAGGUACAGUCAACCUGGAACAAGGGCUCUUGGCUUCUCACCACUUAUCCAAUUAUGAGAACCCCCCACAUGCCAGGCACUACGGGGGAUACAGAGAAAUGAGAUUCAACUCCGAACCCCCAGGCACAGGGGGAGGGACAGGGUAACCUUUAACUGCCAUAUCACGUGGAUUAAGGUGACAUAUAAAUUGGAUUAAGGUGACACAAAGGUGGCACGAACAAUCCUGGGUCUCAAUAACAAUUGAUAAGGCAGAGGAUGCUGCUCCAGGUCCUGAAGGACCUCAUCCAAACAGAGGAAUUUUCUUUCAGAUUCCAUAAGGACCACCCAAGACCAAGAGAAACCAAGGGACUCAGGGAAGCUCGUACAGACCUUAUGGGGAUGAUCAGGCCUGGAACCUUGACUCCUACAAUCCAAUUCUACAUCCUACUGCCU
rnacentral:lncRNA from 1 species